GACGAACGCUGGCGGCGUGCUUAACACAUGCAAGUCGAACGAUGAAGCCGGAGCUUGCUCCGGUGGAUUAGUGGCGAACGGGCGAGUAACACGUGAGCAAUCUGCCCUUGACUCCGGGAUAACUGCGGGAAACUGUAGCUACUACCGGAUACGACACUUUGGGGCAUCUGUGGGUGUGGAAAGAAUUGCGGUCAAGGAUGAGCUCGAGGCCUAUCAGCUAGUUGGUGGGGUAAUGACUCACCAAGGCGACGACGGGUAGCCGGCCUGAGAGGGUGACCGGCCACACUGGAACUGAGACACGGUCCAGACUCCUACGGGAGGCAGCAGUGGGGAAUAUUGCACAAUGGGCGAAAGCCUGAUGCAGCAACGCCGCGUGAGGGAUGAAGGCCUUCGGGUUGUAAACCUCUUUUAGCAGGGAAGAAGCGAAAGUGACGGUACCUGCAGAAAAAGCACCGGCUAACUACGUGCCAGCAGCCGCGGUAA
rnacentral:rRNA from 1 species